UCGAGAAUCUUCCGCAAUGGACGAAAGUCUGACGGAGCGACGCCGCGUGCGGGAUGAAGGCCCUUGGGUUGUAAACCGCUGUCAGAGGGGAUGAAAUCUUCGGAGGUACUCCUCCGAAGUUGACAGAGCCUCAAAGGAAGCACGGGCUAAGUACGUGCCAGCAGCCGCGGUAACACGUACUGUGCGAACGUUAUUCGGAAUCACUGGGCUUAAAGGGUGCGUAGGCGGCGAUUCAAGUCAGAUGUGAAAUGCCUGAGCUCAACUGAGGCAUUGCGUUUGAAACUGAACCGCUAGAGUAUUUCAGGGGUGUGCGGAACUGCCAGUGGAACGGUGAAAUGUGUUGAUAUUGGCAGGAACACCGGAGGCGAAAGCGGCACACUGGGGAAUAACUGACGCUGAGGCACGAAAGCCAAGGGAGCGAACGGGAUUAGAUACCCAUGUAGUCCCUGAGCGGGCUGGCAAGGCGCAU
rnacentral:rRNA from 1 species